AUUAUAGAAAAUAAAAUCUUGAUUGUCAUCUUUAUUCUCCAUAAAGAUUUGGAAGGUUAUGAGAACCAUCCUUAAGUAUGUAUGAAAUACUAAGGACCAAUGGCUCAUUUAUGGAGAAUCUGACUUAAAAUCUAUAAAAUAUUGAUUUCAGUUUUUAGUCAGAUCGAAAUAACAAAGUUAUGUCAGGUUAUAUUUUUAUUCUAAAAAAGGAGUGACAUGCUGAAAAGAUCCUAUACAAUAUUCAGUAGCC
rnacentral:lncRNA from 1 species